rnacentral:lncRNA from 1 species
UUCCUCUCCCCCAGUGUCUGCCUCAGGACGAGGCGUGCGCCGACACUGGCAGUGGCAGCGCCGAGGGCCUGGCUGCUGACGGCCCCCACCUGCACACGCUGACGCAGCCUAUCGUGGUCACCGUGCCGCGGCCGCCCCCCAGUGAGCACGCAGUCCUCCUCCGCAUGGGGCCGUGGGGCGGCAGAGCGGGUGGGAAGGACGCCUGGGAGCUGGACCCAGUCUCAGCGUGGCACUUCCCACAGGGCCGCCCAAGAGUGUCCCCGGCCGCGCCGUGCGCCCUGAGCCUCCCGCGCCGGCCCCCGCGGCCCUGGAACCCGCGCCGGUGGUGGCGCUGGUGUUGGCAGCCUUCGUGCUGGGCGCCGCGCUGGCCGCCGGGCUGGGCCUCGUCUGUGCGCACUCAGCGCCCCACGCCCCUGGCCCGCCCGCGAGAGCCUCGCCCAGCGGUCCCCAGCCCAGGAGGUCCCAGUGAGGAAGGUAGGUAUGGAGGUGGAGGGAGCUGGGUGAGGUAGGAGAUCUGACAGUGACGCUUCCUAGCGCUUAGUUCGUGCCAGGCAUUGUGGGUUUUUUUUGUUUUGUUUUGUUUUGUUUUUUGAGACGGAGUUUCGCUCUUGUUGCCCAGGCAGGAGUGCAAUGGCGCGAUCUCGGCUCGGCGCGAUCUCGG